GCUGGAAACAGGACAGAUGGCUUUUAAAUACAGACAUCCUCUGUAGAAACAGUUUAUAAUUUAAACUGUGCGUGAAAUAAUAGCACAGGUGUAUUCAACACUGCUCGUUUCCCUAGGCGCCGCUACCACCAAUCAAUCGCCUACGGAGACCAUAACCCGCAGAACUAGACACCUUAUAGGGACUAGUGUGAGUGCACGUCACGUCCAGAAUCGACGUCCAGAAUCGGCGAUGACCACCCAGCAAAGAGACAUUUGUUUCGGGAGGGGUGUCCCCUUUAUGGACAGAGAGUGAGUUGCGCUGGGCCACUACUGUAGCGAUCAUACUAUUCCUGAGUGCGCGCACGGUGAUAGACUUGUAGCAUGGUGACCAAGCUCAGUGACCGGGGAGCUCGUCCCUCAGCACAGUACAAUCUGUCCAGUUUGAGAAGUGACACUGCCCAGAAGGGAAAGUGGAGUUAUCAUUAGCCCCACUCCCAUUGGUCAACGAGGGCAGGUGGCUAGCCAGCUUUUCCUCCACCGGGAGUGCAUGCACAAGCUUCCUUCAUUCCCUCCACAUCCAGGAAUAACCGGGCUGAAUGAGGCUCGUCACGGCUUGCCUUUAGCUCGUCGUCAAUGUCUGGGAAGAGAGGCCAGCGGUGCCUGACUAAGGUAGGCAUAGGAAUAUCCCACAAAACCUGGUCGCCCUCUGUUGCGGGAGGGGAUCGGGCCACAUGACCGGCCGCUCUGCGACACCGUCCAAUGAAGAACACGUUAUCCCCCUGGGUGUCCCCUGCAACCUCCAUAGCUGGGGGGCUUUUGACUGCCCUGGAGCCAAAUCAUUCUCCUCCACAUCAAUGUCUGAGAAUCCACCGCGUCGUCCUCCGAACGCGGAUCCCUCGUGCUGCAGAGGGUAGCAGAAACAAUGUCAGAGAAUCCACCGCGUCGUCCUCCGAACGCGGAUCCCUCAUGCUGCAGAAACAAUGUCAGAGAAUCCACCACGUCGUCCUCCGAACACGGAUCCCUCAUGCUGCAGAAACAAUGUCAGAGAAUCCACCACGUCUUCCUCCGAACGCGGAUCCCUCAUGCUGCAGAGGGUAGUAGAAACAAUGUCUGAGAAUCCACCUCGUCGUCCUCCGAACGCCGAUCCCUCAUGCUGCAGAGGGUAGCAGAAACAAUGUCUGAGAAUCCACCGCGUCGUCCUCCGAACGCCGAUCCCUCAUGCUGCAGAGGGUAGCAGAAACAUCUGCUGACUCGUUGUCACGAAGAUCGGAGGCUACUAACUCCAUGUAGUCUGACCAUAUACAGUUGAAGUUGGAAGUUUACAUACAUUUAAACUCAGUUUCACAAUUCCUGGCAUUUAAUCCUAGUAAAAACUCCCUGGAUUAUACGUUUUGAGUCGCCUUCCACAAGCUUCCCACAAUAAGUUGGGUGACUUUUGGCCCAUUCCUCCUGACAGAGCUGGUGUAACAGUCAGGUUUGUAGGCCUCCUUGCUCGCACAUGCUUUUUCAGUUCUGCCCACAAAUAUUCUAUUGGAUUGAGAUCAGGGCUUUGUGAUGGCCACUCCAAUACCUUGACUUGGUUGUCCUUAAGCCAUUUUGCCACAACUUUGGAAGUGUGCUUGGGGUCAUUGUCCAUUUGAAAGACCCAUUUGCAACCAAGCUUUAACUUCCUGACUGAUGUCUUGAGAUGUUGCUUCAAUAUAUGCACAUAAUUUUUCCCACCUCAUGAUGCCAUCUAUUUUGUGAAGUGCACCAGUCCCUCCUGCAGCAAAGCACCCCCACAACAUGAUGCUGCCACCCCCAUACUUCACGGUUGGGAUGGUGUUCUUCGGCUUGCAAGCCUCCCCCUUUUUCCUCCAAACAUAAUGGUGGUCAUUAUGGCCAAACAGUUCAAUUUUUGUUUCAUCAGACCAGAGGACAUUUUUCCAAAAGGUAUGAUCUUUGUCCCAAUGUGCAGUUGCAAACCGUAGUCUGGCUUUUUUAUGGUGGUUUUGGAGCAGUGGCUUCUUCCUUGCUGAUCAGCCUUUCAGGUUAUGUCGAUAUAGGACUCGUUUUACUGUGGAGACAGAACCCGUCUCCCUCCUGAGCGGUAUGGCAGCUGCGUGGUCCCAUGGUGUUUAUACUUGCGUACUACUGUUUGUACAGAUGAAUGUGGUACCUUCAGGCGUUUGGAAAUUGCUCCCAAGGAUGAACCCGACUUGAGGAGAUCUACAAUUUAUUUUCUGAAGUCUUGGCGUUUGAUUUUCCUAUGAUCUCAAGCAAAGAGGCACUGAGUUUGAAGGUAGGCCUUGAAAUACAUCCACAGGUACUCCUCCAAUUGGCUCAAAUGAUGUCAAUUAGCCUAUCAGAAGCUUCUAAAGCCAUGACAUAAUUUUCUGGAAUUUUCCAAGCGGUUUAAAGGCACAGUCAACUUAGUGUAUGUAAAAUUCUGACCCACUGGAAUUGUGAUACAGUGAAUUCUAAGUGAAAUAAUCUGUCUGUAAACAAUUGUUGGAAAAAUUGUGUCAUGCACAAAGUAGAUGUCCUAACCGACUUGCCAAAACUAUAGUUUGUUUAACAAGAAAUGUGUGGAGUGAUUGAAAAGCGAGUUUUAAUGACUCCAACCUAAGUGUAUGUAAACUUCCUGACUUCAAAUGUAGUCCUAACUCUGUCGAGGCUGCACCCUGAUUCUUGAGAGGGCGGGGCCUCCCAUGGGGCACAGUCUCAUUGGCCUCAGAUGGUCAGACGUGAUUGAAA
rnacentral:lncRNA from 1 species